AUUUAUUAGAUAAAAAACCAACGCCCUUCGGGGCUCCUUGGUGAAUCAUAAUAACUUAACGAAUCGCAUGGCCUUGCGCCGGCGAUGGUUCAUUCAAAUUUCUGCCCUAUCAACUUUCGAUGGUAGGAUAGUGGCCUACCAUGGUGGCAACGGGUAACGGGGAAUUAGGGUUCGAUUCCGGAGAGGGAGCCUGAGAAACGGCUACCACAUCCAAGGAAGGCAGCAGGCGCGCAAAUUACCCAAUCCCGAUACGGGGAGGUAGUGACAAUAAAUACUGAUACGGGGCUCUUUUGGGUCUCGUAAUUGGAAUGAGAACAAUUUAAAUCCCUUAACGAGGAACAAUUGGAGGGCAAGUCUGGUGCCAGCAGCCGCGGUAAUUCCAGCUCCAAUAGCGUAUAUUAAAGUUGUUGCAGUUAAAAAGCUCGUAGUUGAACCUUGGGUCUGGCUGGCCGGUCCGCCUCACCGCGAGUACUGGUCCGGCUGGACCUUUCCUUCUGGGGAACCUCAUGGCCUUCACUGGCUGUGGGGGGAACCAGGACUUUUACUGUGAAAAAAUUAGAGUGUUCAAAGCAGGCCUUUGCUCGAAUACAUUAGCAUGGAAUAAUAGAAUAGGACGUGUGGUUCUAUUUUGUUGGUUUCUAGGACCGCCGUAAUGAUUAAUAGGGAUAGUCGGGGGCGUCAGUAUUCAGCUGUCAGAGGUGAAAUUCUUGGAUUUGCUGAAGACUAACUACUGCGAAAGCAUUCGCCAAGGAUGUUUUCAUUAAUCAGGGAACGAAAGUUAGGGGAUCGAAGACGAUCAGAUACCGUCGUAGUCUUAACCAUAAACUAUGCCGACUAGGGAUCGGACGGG
rnacentral:rRNA from 1 species